UCGAGCGGGCGUAGCAAUACGUCAGCGGCAGACGGGUGAGUAACGCGUGGGAACAUACCUUUUGGUUCGGAACAACACAGGGAAACUUGUGCUAAUACCGGAUAAGCCCUUACGGGAAAGAUUUAUCGCCGAAAGAUUGGCCCGCGUCUGAUUAGCUAGUUGGUGAGGUAACGGCUCACCAAGGCGACGAUCGGUAACCGGCCUGAGAGGGCGAUCGGUCACACCGGAACUGAGACACGGUCCGG
rnacentral:rRNA from 1 species